rnacentral:tRNA from 1 species
GAGGGUAUAGCUCAAGUGGUAGAGCAUGUGCUUAGCAUGCACAGAGUCCUGAGUUCAAUCCCUACUACCUCCU